UGAUCACAAGAAGGAAAAUAUACUGGUAGCUAUUCACCAAUAACUACAAACAAUCUGUCAAGUCAUCACCAUAUGGAAACCUUGGAAGCUUAACAGUUCACAUAUUUUGAAUGUCUGGAGCUAAAUUGUAGGACAGCCAGUAAAUAGACAUAGUAUAAAAGUUAAGGAACAGAACUGAAGUGAAUCGAUCAUCAGAUCUCAAGCCAGCUCUUGUUCUUCUACUAAUCAUGGAUUUACUUUCAAAAGUUUUUGGAGUGAUAUAAGAAGAGAUGUGUCAGCCUGUCAUAUAUGUUUACGAAAGAUAACAUUCAAUGGUCUAUACUUUUCUCAGUUUUUCAAUAAAACACAUCUCAAGUCGUCCUCAAGCACUCUUGUGCAUGUCAAUUUCCAUUAUAGCCCUCAAAUGUAUUUGUAAACCCAAAGCUUAGCACAAUUGUUCAUUGAACUCCCAAAUAAACAGAAAAUGAGUGUUUAUAUACCAUGGGCAUGAUUCAACUGGGUGAACAGAAGAAGCCCUACUUUGGGCAUGCUCUCAUGGAGGCAUGGAUAGGGUUGGCAAAAACUGACCCGACCCGAACCCGAUCCGAAAAAAGCGGGUUAGGGUUGAGGUUUCCGACCCGAAAACUUAAAUGGUCGACACGAACCCGAACCCGAAAUUAAAUGGGUUAGGUUAAGGUUGAAAAUCUCAACCCGAAAACGACCCACUUAACCCGAAAUAAAUUUCAGGUCAAAAUCAGGUCGGGUCAACCCGAACCCGACCUGAUAACCCGAACUAAUUUAAGUAAGAAAAAGAAAAAAAACGUAAAAAGCUUAUUAAGCACAGCCCAAAUUCACAAAGAGGCUUCCAUAUAUAAACUCAAUACCUUAAAUGAACUCAUUUCUCCUCAUUGAUCUUCGGCCGUUUUUCCCCUCACUUCUCUCUCUUUAAUUUUCUCUCUUCUCAAAAACUCAUUGUUGAAUUCGACAGAGGUAGUUCCGUUAAGCCCAACUUUACCAUUGUCAUUUCCUUGACGGCUUGAAUCCUUCACUCCUCCACGAAUUCCUCUCCUUCAUCAAAGGUUUGGCAGCAAGAAGUAGCCCACCCAUGUUCAAUUGGAAAUGUUGUGGAUCAAUUUUGAAGCUUGAGGUGGUGAACAAGGAUGACAGCCAUGACAAAUUGACAGUCCCAACAUCGCCCGAUCUUAAUCCAAAUGAAAAUCUUAUUGCAUCUUCUAUUAUUUUUUGAAAACUGUAAUUUGUGUUAUUAAAACUUUAUCUUUGGUUUGUAAUUAGUGAAUUACAAUUUUUAUUGGUUUAUUAUCGUUAAGUAGGAUUGUUACUUUGUUAGACUAA